ACUCCUACGGGAGGCAGCAGUGGGGAAUAUUGGACAAUGGGCGAAAGCCUGAUCCAGCCAUGCCGCGUGUGUGAAGAAGGUCUUCGGAUUGUAAAGCACUUUAAGUUGGGAGGAAGGGCAGUAAGUUAAUACCUUGCUGUUUUGACGUUACCAACAGAAUAAGCACCGGCUAACUUCGUGCCAGCAGCCGCGGUAAUACGAAGGGGUGCAAGCGUUAAUCGGAAUUACUGGGGCGUAAAGCGCGCGUAGGUGGUUCAGCAAGUUGGAUGUGAAAUCCCCGGGGCUCAACCUGGGGAACUGCAUCCAAAACUACUGAGCUAGAGUACGGUAGAGGGUGGUGGAAUUUCCUGUGUAGCGGUGAAAUGCGUAGAUAUAGGAAGGAACACCAGUGGCGAAGGCGACCGACCUGGACUGAUACUGACACUGAGGUGCGAAAGCGUGGGGAGCAAAC
rnacentral:rRNA from 1 species